CCUACGGGCGGCAGCAGUGGGGGAUAUUGCACAAUGGGGGGAACCCUGAUGCAGCGACGCCGCGUGGGUGAAGAAGCGCCUCGGCGCGUAAAGCCCUGUCAGCAGGGAGGAAAAUGACGGUACCUGAAGAAUAAGCCCCGGCUAACUACGUGCCAGCAGCCGCGGUCAUACGUAGGGGUCAAGCGUUAUCCGGAUUGACUGGGGGUAAAGGGGUCGCAGGCGGCGAUGCAAGCCAGGAGUGAAAGCCCGGGGCCCAAGCCCGGGAACGCUCUUGGAACUGCGUGGCUGGAGUGCAGGAGGGGUAGGCGGAAUUCCUGGUGUAGCGGUGAAAUGCGUAGAUAUUAGGAGGAACACCGGUGGCGAAGGCAGCCUGCUGGACUGCAACUGACGUUGAGGCCCGAAAGCGUGGGGAGCAAACAGGAUUAGAUACCCGGGUAGUC
rnacentral:rRNA from 1 species